rnacentral:lncRNA from 1 species
UAGGCAAGUAAAUAAUGGAAAUGACAAGGAUGCCCUUCAGUUUGAAAUUGGGAGGGAAAACUUUCCUUCUUGUGGCGCCCGCCACAAGUCCAUGGCGCCCGCCAUAAGGCCAAAUUGUGGCGCCUUAGUGGAAUUAGUGGGGAACGUGGCAUUUGAGGGAAGUUGAGCUAGGACACGUCAUGGCUGGGCCCAUGGCGCCAGCCACAGUGGGAGCCACAAGUGCAAAAUGCUGAAUUUUAUGGUUUUUAGCUCGUUUUCACUCCUUUUCUCGGUCGGGGCUCCAAUUCAAGUAAAAACCUGAAAACAAAGAGAAACAUAGUAAUAACAUAACAAAAUAAUAAUAAAACAACUAAAAUGCAUGCGAAAUAGGAGUCGAAAAUAUGGUGAAUUUCAGUGUCAUCAGAAAGCACUCCAAGUAGCGAAGUGUUCCUAGCAGAGUCGCCAGCUGAAGCUAGCGGAAAUAUACCUGAACGUAUCGCACGCUCGAACAUACAACAUAGUCACCAUCGAACUUUAUUUAUCCCUAAAGGGAAGGGAAAAAUCGAUAAAACCCGGGGGAAAGAGAUAUACUGGGGAAGGAAGUCGGUUAUGCAAGGGGAAGGUAUUAGCACCCCAAACAUCCAUGAUACUCCAUGAGAACCGUUUUGAUUGUUCUUGCUCGAAUAAGUGUUAUCUAAGGAUUGCUCGUAAAAGAACGGGGAAGGAAGAGAAUAGAUAAAGUGCUCGGUGAGGAUUGAGGCCCUCAUGCCUACGUAUCCUCAUAGUGCAAUGAGGAAUUCAGAGCUUCGUAGUUCAAAGAACUAAUGGUGGGAGGUGAAAAGAAGUGUGAUAGAAAUAUGGUAUGAGCCAAAGAAUAAUGUUAUUUGAACUCCAACAAGGGUGAAAAGAUGAACCCAAAAGUAAACAGGUAUGAACCAACAAGUGAGGGCCUACAACACUUGUAUCAUUGUAUUUGAACAACCGAAAAAAGAAUGAAUUAGGUGUUUGGGUUAAGGGCCAAAUAGCUCUUGAUUCACCAUCUCCUGAUUAGGGUUUUGAAGGCCAAGACAAGGCCUGGGGAAGCUCAAUGAGAUCAUGCCUUGAGAAAUUAGGGUUUGGAAGACCCUAGAGGAUUGUCUGGUCACAUCUUUGUUGAAUUCAAGCCUUCACCAUCACCAUUAGGGUUUUGCAUCCCCCAUGCUGAUGAUAUGUUUAGACCAUGCUCUUGAGCCUUGAUAUCCACACAAACCCUAUAUUCAUAAGCCUAAGUUUUUUAAAUCCAUGAUGAAUGAUGCAUGUGGAUGAAUUAUGAAUGUAUGCAAGUGAUCUCCUGAUCAAGUGGUUGGAUAAAUAAUUAAGAAAGGGGAGGUCAAAUUUUGGGGUACAACAACUCUGACUUGAUUUUAUUUUUGCAUUGUAUUAUUUACUCCUGCAACGUUUCCCAUGCCUUUUUACCUUGGGUGUAUUAAUUUUGAAAUUCAAUGAAAUAUUUACCUUGGUUUUCUUGAGUAUUGUUAGCUUUAUAGCUUUGUGUCGGCCUUUAUUUCAUCAUUAUUGUUAUUCACGAUUUGUUAUAGGUUUGGGCUUGCACUCUUUAAUUGCAAAGUAUUUAUUUACUUUUAGAAUUUAAGCCAUACCAUCAUUGUUCGUCGAUUAUGGUGGGAUAUUUGUUAUGAGAGUGAGAUCCUUUAUAGAUUUGUUUUACGAAAGAAGUAGCAUAUUUGAUUAUAAUGAGAUGACGAAAGUGCCUCUGGGAUUUUCUUGGUUUUAUGUAACUCAUUACAUCGGUUGAUAUGUCGGCUAUCAUUUUUGUUUCCUAUAUUUGAUCGUUAUCUUUAGUGUUUGUUGUAGAAAUGUACUUAAUAGGCCUCAUAUGCGAGGUAGGAAUUUGAGUUGUAUAAGAAUCACAAAAUUAUGUUAAUCAAAUACUCAAUUGGAUCUGGCAUAUAUUUAAUUCGUAUAGGAAUCGCAGAAAUUUGUUAAGACUGUAUCGAAUACACAACCGGGUGUAGAGUGUGAUUUUAGCCAUAUCGAAAUCACAAAAAUAUGUUAAGUCCGUAUCAGAUGCACAAUGAUCUCGAAAUACGCAUAAGCCAUAUCAAAAUCAUAUAGGUGCAUUAAGUUUGAAUAAAAAACAUAUUCAUAUAUAUGUUAUUUCUUUGUUAUGGACUGUACGCAGAGCAUUGCCCUAACGCAUAUAUAAUUAGUAUAGUACGUAUAGAUAUAUAGUAUUAUAAUAUCAUAUCUAUAUAUAUUGUAUAUCUAUAUAUAUAUAUAUUAUGUAUAUUAUAAUAUAUAUAUAUAAUAUUUAUAUUAAUAUAUAUAAUUAUAAUAAGUAUUAUAUAUCUAUACUAGCUAUAUUAUAUGAUUAUAUAGUAUUAUAAUUAGUUAUAUAAUAACUAUGACGUAUAUAUAGAUAUUAUAUACUAUAUACUAUAAUAUUACUAGUAUAUAUUAUUGGUAUAUACUAUAGUAUCAUCAGCGACACAUCUUACACACAAACGUAAGGGCUUGAGCAUUUUUAUGUAAAGAAAAAUGGAAUUUGGGAAAAGAGGUAGACCUGAAGUGGAAAUAGAGCAAUGUUGGAGCGAUCGUGAGAAUGGGGGAAGAUUUUCAUCAACCUUCAAACUUCAAGGUAAGGGGAAAUUUCUUUACUCAUGGUCACCUUAAGCGGUCAGGAUAGUGAGGGGUCACUAUCCUCUUAUAUCUGCAUUUUCAUUAUCCAUGGUUUGUGGCCUUGUUGGUGAGCAAUGGGGUUUAGCCAAAACCCCUGAGAUUACCGUUGAUGAGUUGUUCUAUUUGUUGUUACUGUAGUGGAAAAUAUGUAUGAAUCUGAUUUAUGUGUUUUGGCCAAAAAGGGUUUGGGCAAAAACCCUUUGAGACGAUCGAUUGUUGUAUUAGUUUAAUUUUGAUGAAUAUGAUAUGAAAAUCUAUGAUUACUAUGAAUUAAACUCCUUGACACCUUGUUGAUAUGUGUUUAUGCCAUUUUGGUUUUUUUCUAAUGUAUGGUACUGUUAAUAUGUGUUUAUCGAUGAGUUUUUAUGCACCAUUUUGGUAUGUUUUUCCAAAUAUCAUAAAAUGUCAGAAAUAUUGUAAAACUGGGUGUUCAUCAGCCCAAACACAAAUUCCAUAAGAAUGCCUCAAAACUAAAGGGUCUGAACAUAAACCCUAACCAAAUCCUCACUCUGAACACGAAUCCGGUGAAGCACAAAAUGAAGAACACCUUGGGUGUCCAUCAUCCCAAACACAUAUUCCACACGAACGCCUCAAAAUUAGAGGGUUUGAACAUAAACCCUAAGCAAAUCCUCACUCUAAACAUGAAUCUGGUGAUGAAAUCAACAACAAGCAAACGAAAUCAAACAAAAUCAAAUCAAAACCUAGGCAUCUAAAACCAUUCUAUAUGAGUGAGACAUUCACAAUCAAACAAAAUUACCUGUCGCACCUCGAAAAAUGGGGAUACGACUUUAAAGCGAAGCGCGAUCGCACGCUCGCAAUGAUGGACUGAACAGAGUCGCCACCGAACUUUAUUUAUUCCUAAAAAGGAAAGGGGAAAUAUCGAUAAAACCCAAGACAAAAGAAAGGAUANAGCAAAAAGAAGAUAAUAAACUAUCAUCUUCUCUUUCUUUGAUACAAUACAAAAUUCUUAGAAGAAAAACAAGAACACUAAUAACACUAUCAGAUCUUUCAUUUCUUGAUAACAUAUACAAAUUAAUCAAACAAAGAACACUAAUAAAAUUAUCAAGUCUUCUAAAUUUCUUGACAACAAAUAUACAAAGUUUAGCAAACAAGAACUUUACUAAUAACCACUAUCAAUCUUCUCAUUUCUUGAUAACAAUUAAAACAAAAUUUAGCAAAACAAGAACACUAAUAACACUAUUUCAAUCUUCUCAUUUCUUCGAAAAAAAUAUUUUUACAAAAUUUUGCAAAACAACACUAAUACACUAUCAAUCUGCUCGAUUCUUCGAUAACAAUAUACAAAAUUUAGCAAACAAGAACACUAAUAAAAUAUCAAUGCUUCUCAUUUCUUGAUAACAAAUACAAAAUAUUUAGCAAACAAGAAGGACAAUAACAUAUCAAUCUUUGCAUUUUCUUGUAACAAUAUAGCAGAAAUUUAGACAAAAACAAGGAACGACAUAAUAACACUAUUCAAUCUUCUCAUUUUCUUUCGAAACGAAUGAUUACAAAAAGUUUAGGCCAAAACAAGAACACUAGAUAACACGUAUCAAUCUACUCAUUUCUUGAAUAACAGAUACUACAAUAUUAGCAAAACAAGAACACUUAAUAGACACUAUCAAUCUUCUCAGUUCUUGAUAACAAUCAUACAAAAAUAAAUAAUAAAGACAAAACCAAGAACACGCUAUAACACUAUCAAUCUUCUUCAUUUCUUGAUAAAAAAAUAUAACAAAAUUUAGAAAAAAGAACACUAACUAACACUAUUCAAUCCUUACUCGAUUUCUUGAUAACAAAUAUACAGAUAAUUUAAGCCAAAACAAGAACACUAAUAACACUUGAUCAUUUGCUUCUGACUUUCUUGAUAACAAUAUACAAAAUUUAGUAAAACAAGAACACUAAUUAACACUAUCAAUGCUUCUCUUUCGAUAACAGAUCAUACAAAAUUGCAAAACCAAGGAACAAAUUAAUAACACUAACAAUCUUCUUAUUUCCUUGCAUAAAGAAUAUACAAAAGUUUUUGCAAAAAAGAACAUCUAAUAACACUAUCAAUCUUGCUCUUUCUUGAUUAACAAUAUAACAAAAUUUAGCAACAAACGAAGAAGACUAAUAACACUACCAAUCUGUCUCAUUUCUUGAUGAAUAAAUACAAAAUUUAGCCAGACAAGAACACUAAUAGAAGCACUAUCAAAUCUUCUCAUUUCUGAUAACAGUUAAAAAAUAUUAGCAAAACAAGAACACUGAAUAAACAAUAUCGCAAUCUUCUCAUUUCUUAUACAAUAUACAUAAUUUAGCAAGACAAGAACACUAAUAACAUAUCAAUCUUCUCACUUUCUGUGAUAACAACUAUACAAUACUUUAGCAAACAAAACGAAGAACACUGAAUAAACACUAUCAACCUUGCUCAUUUCUUGAUAACAAUAUUAUACAAAAUUUAGCAAAACAAGAACACUAAUAACACUAUCAUCCUUCUCAAUUUACUUGAUAACACAUAUACAAAAUUUCGCAGAAACCACAAGAACAAUAAAUAACAACCAUAUCAAUCUUCUCAUUUCUUGAUAAACGAAUAUAACAAAAUUUAGCAAAACAGAACAGCCUAGCAUAACACUAUCAGAAUCUUCUCAUUUCUUGAUAACAUAUAUACAAAAUUUCGCAAAACAAGAACACUAUAACACUAUAAUACUUCUCCAUUCUUGAUUUGACAAUAUACAAAAUUUCCGAAAACAAGAACCAUAAAUGAACACUAUCAAUAACGUCUCAGUUUCUUCGAUAACAAGUAUCGACAAACAUUUAGCAAAACGAAGAACACUAAAUAACACUGUCAAAAGAUCUACUCAUUCUCCUUGAAUAACAAACAUUAUACGCAAAGCUAUUUAGCAAAGACACCAGAGAACACUAAUGCAACCACUAGGUCAAUCAUGUACAUCCAUCCUCUAGUGAUUAACCAAAUUAUUUCAUGCAUCUAAAGAGUAUAAUAAGAAAGGUAAGAAUUAAGCGAAGUGAAAACAGGCCGUGACGUUUUGAUAAAGACGACACAUGAUAUCGUGUCAGAAUCCCACCAUUCGUCUCAUUUCUCUUGGAUCAAUCAAAUUACUCGGGUAUAUACGAUACUAUGUUAACAUAUACAACAACCACACGAAGACUUCAAUGUAUUCUUUCCUAAACUAAUGCAAGAAAAUGGACUAUAUAAUGCAAAUAUUAGGUUACAUUCUAGUUUGCGUUAACUAAAAAUAUUAUUAAUGUGACUACGAAAAAUUUUUUUGCCAAUAAGCAAAGAUCUCUACAAGACUUGAAGCCCUAAAUAUUUCAGAGAAAUUACAAACGGGAGUAAUGUCCGCAUCACCCGGUAUACUUUUUUCUUCAAAAAAAAAAUAUCUUAAUAAAAAAUAAAAAAAAUAUAAAAUCUUAUAAGAAACAACUAGUUCUGCAGACAUUACUUUCUUAAAGUGCUUGUCUUGUGUGAAUGUGAGAGAACAGAUAUACAACGAAAUAUUAUAUAUUGAUGUGCACAAACUCUAUACAGCUAUGAGGAAGACUAAAAUAACACCCUAUUUCGGCAAUUAUUACACUGGUCAUUCCUUCCAGGUAAUCUUUUCUUCCAAACUUUAAUAAGAAGAUGAUUUUGAAUAUUUAAAGUGUUAAAGAAAAGACGAAAUUUAAUCGGCUGGCAGAACCUUACAAGCUUGAGCUAAUAUUCGGAGAUACUGAACCUGGAACAAUUCCUCCAGGUAACAUUUUCUUCAACUCUGAUUUUAGAGAAAAUGAGUUUGCAAUAUUGGGAGUAAUGAGAGAAACGAAUAUAACGGCUUGCAGCUCUCUACAGCUUGAGACCUAAUACUUCGAUUACCGAGUGCACAUUCCAUCCAGUAAUCUUUUUCUUUACUUUUAUUCGUUAUUUGGAAAACGAUUUGAAUAUUAAAUUAAAACAAUUAAAGUACCGAGGUUUGAAAUUAUUGAAAGUUUAGUUGAUGUUGCUUACGAGCUCAUUGUAAGAAGGCCCAAGAGUAAGCCAUGUGAGGAAAGCAACAAAUACAAAAUUAUAUUUUACAAAAUAAUCAAAAAUCGAAUCAAAAAGAGUAAAAUCGGGAUUUACACGGAUUAAAAUCGGGAUGCGAAGAUGCGAAUCAAGGUCACAUAACGCAAAGACGUGCAAGGCGGGUAGAAAUUGAGCAACAAACAAACAAACAAAAACCUAUAUAAUGUGCUUAAAGCCGGUUUGCGCAUAUUGACAACAAUCGAAAUGUCAUAUGAGAUUGAUCAAACGCGGCGAAAUACUAUCAAUAUAUCGAUGAAAUAAUCAUGGAAUAACAACAUGGGAACUGUUGAAUCCAGAGAUUGAAACUCGAUGUUUAAUCAAUAAAAUAAAUUAAAGACAAACAUUAAAAUCAACAAGUAUCGAAAAAAUGAGAAUAAAAAUAUAAAAAGAAUUAAAAAUAAAAUAACAUAAAAAAUGAAAUAAAUAGAAAGUGGGAUGUACAAGGGUCGAACCAUGACCUAGUGGAAAGUCAAUUGCACCCAUUAAUGUAUAGUAUGAAUUUUAUUAGAAAAAUAGAAACAUGAAGAGAAAAAAAAAAUUAACAAAGACUAUAAAUGUAGCCUAGCAGGAAUUGAACUUGGGACCUAAGCAUUACAAUCUAAAGCUCUUGCCACUCUACCAGAUCUACUUUUCUAACUUUUAUAACAGACAGAAAAUAUAAUAUAAACAAUAUGAUGAAAUAAAAAAAACCAACAAGAAUCAUAGUAGCAGUAAUGCAGUAGCAGUAGUGCAGUAGUGCAGUAACAUGUUUUUUCAAGUUUAUCUUCUUCAUUCUAACACAAUAAUGAACUAUUUACAAACCACAAAAAUAUUUCCAAAUGCAAAAUGAUUAAUAAAUUUUAAUAUAAAGAAUAAAAAAUCUAAUCUUAACUAAAAUUUAUAAUAAUAAUAAUAAUAACAUAUAAUAAUUCAUAAAACAUAUUAGAAAUAAAAUAAAUAAUAAGAUAAAAAGAAAAAGAAAAAGAAAAAAAAUAUUAGUUUGAGUUUCUUAACGAAAUCAAAUCCCAAUGCCGGAAAACGAAGAAAAACAACAACUUCAAGUCGAAAUCAAAAUGCUCUCUCUCUCUCAACAAAUAUAUGAAAACGACGAUACAGAGUGAUACAAAAAUGCAAACAUGGGAAAGGAACAAGAAACAAACCGGCAGAAGGCGAAGUUUGGUGGUGAUUUCGUACGCGGUUUCCAGAAUGGAGGGUGUUGGAUUAGGAAGCUUCGGAGGUGGUUGUACGUAGUGAUUUGGAGGUGGGUUAGAAUGUGGUUGUAUGGAAGGAGGCGGAGGUGAGCCGGUGCCUAUGGUGGAGGUUUGUUAAGGUUGUAUUGAAGAUGCAGUUUGUUACCGUCUGAAGAAAGCAAACCAUGAAAGGGAAAAAAGAGUAGGUCUUUUGAAAAGUGGAAGGAAAUGUGUGAGUUGAAAUAGAAUAAAGUAAAAGUUUUUUUUAAAAAAAGUUGUUUCUCUCCCUCCCCAAAGAAACUUGUUCUGCGUUUUUUCCACUGCAUUCAAUAAGGGAGGAUAGUAUUAAUUUAUUUUAUUUAUUUUCUUGUGGGUCAUGUGUUGGCUAAUGAGACAGAAAUACAAUGGGUGGAAUUGUGAAUUGAUGAGAGGUGUCAGACGAGUGUUGGAGAGAAUGAG